AGAUUGACUAUAUUAGACUGGAUUGUUGGAGUGAAACAUUCCAUUUCCAAACAGGCAACCUGGAAGAAGUUCUGAAGUCUAAAGGCGUCAGUUUGCAACCCAACAGAUAAGAAAAGUCACUGCAAGGUUUCCAAUUUCUUCGUAGUUUCUGGAAAAAUUUAAAAAAUGAGCAUCAUUCCAUCAAUUCUGUGCAGGAUCUCUAUGAUCGUCUUUAUGGUUUUAAUAACUGCAUCGUUUAUCUCCGGAGUUUUUGGUCGUUUUAGUUCUGAAGGUGUCAGUCCAGAAUCUGCGCAGACAUUCCGAGAUGAAGUACUGCACCUUGGAGGUGGGAGCCCAGAAUCUGUGCAGAG